rnacentral:rRNA from 1 species
GAGACUCUGUGCGCGUGCAUAUCAAUAAGCGGAGGAAAAGAAACUAACAAGGAUUCCCCUAGUAACGGCGAGUGAAGCGGGAAGAGCUCAAAUUUGAAAUCUUAAAGGGUUUCCCUUUACGAAUUGUAGUUUAUAGAAGUGUUUUCUGUUGGAGUUUCGGUAAAAGUUCUUUGGAAUAGGACAUCAUAGAGGGUGAGAAUCCCGUAUUUGACCGUUACUUUCCAGCUGUGUGAUACACUUUCAAAGAGUCGGAUUGUUUGGGAAUGCAGUCCAAGAUGGGUGGUAAAUUUCAUCUAAAGCUAAAUAUUGGCGAGAGACCGAUAGCGAACAAGUACCGUGAGGGAAAGAUGAAAAGAACUUUGAAAAGAGAGUUAAACAGUACGUGAAAUUGUCAAAAGGGAAGCGUUUGACACCAGUGUUGUUUUUCCGAAAAUCAAUUACGAAUGUUUUGUUUUUGAGAAGUUAUGACUUCAUCGGCUUGCUUCUUUCUUUACGAAACUUUCUUAAUGCACUUUUCGGUUAACAAGUCAACAUCAAUUUCUUUUGUUGUAAAAGGGUCAUUGGAAGGCGGCUUUCACUUCGGUGAAAGUGUUUAUAGCCUUUGGCUUCUACAAUCGGAGAGAUUGAGGUCUGCAGCGUAGAUCCUUCGGGGUUAGAUACGUAGAUGCUAAGUUAUAGUUUUUUAUAGACAGCUUGUUGACUAUGAUUAAUCAUGUAGCUUACUCGUUUACGCUAUUUUACCUACGCUUAGGAUGUUGACAGCAGUAUAGACUGU